rnacentral:rRNA from 1 species
UACGAAGGGGGGCUAGCGUUGCUCGGAAUCACUGGGCGUAAAGCGCACGUAGGCGGAUUGUUAAGUCAGGGGGUGAAAUCCUGGAGCUCAACUCCAGAACUGCCUUUGAUACUGGCGAUCUCGAGUCCGGGAGAGGUGAGUGGAACUGCGAGUGUAGAGGUGAAAAUUCGUAGAUAUUCGCAAGAACACCAGUGGCGAAGGCGGCUCACUGGCCCGGUACUGACGCUGAGGUGCGAAAGCGUGGGGGAGCAAACAGG